rnacentral:rRNA from 1 species
CCCUUAGAUGUUCUGGGCCGCACGCGCGCUACACUGACGAAUGCAACGAGCUUAUAACCUUGGCCGAAAGGUCUGGGUAAUCUCCAAAUUUCGUCGUGAUGGGGAUAGAUUAUUGCAAUUAUUAAUCUUCAACGAGGAGUGCCUAGUAAGCGCAAGUCAUCAGCUUGCGUUGAUUACGUCCCUGCCCUUUGUACACACCGCCCGUCGCUCCUACCGAUUGAAUGGUCCGGUGAAGCGCUCGGACCGCGGCCUCUUGACGGUUUUCCGUCGAUUGGCUGUGGGAAGUUCGUUAAACCUUAUCAUUUAGAGGAAGGAGAANUCGUAACA